rnacentral:rRNA from 1 species
UACGUAGGGGGCUAGCGUUGUCCGGAAUCAUUGGGCGUAAAGCGCGCGUAGGCGGCCAGAUAAGUCCGGUGUGAAAGUCACAGGCUCAACCUGUGAAUGCCGCUGGAAACUGUCUGGCUAGAGUCCGGAAGGGGCGAGUGGAAUUCCUGGUGUAGCGGUGAAAUGCGCAGAUAUCAGGAAGAACACCCGUGGCGAAAGCGGCUCUCUGGAACGGUACUGACGCUGAGACGCGAAAGCGUGGGGAGUGAACAGG